rnacentral:rRNA from 1 species
GAUGGGUAGGGGAGCGUCGUGUGCCGGGUGAAGCUGCGCCGGAAGGCAGUGGUGGACGGUUCACGAGUGAGAAUGCAGGCAUGAGUAGCGAUACAUACGUGAGAAACGUGUGCGCCGAUUGACUAAGGGUUCCUGGGUCAAGCUGAUCUGCCCAGGGUAAGUCGGGACCUAAGGCGAGGCCGACAGGCGUAGUCGAUGGAUAACCGGUUGAUAUUCCGGUACCCGCUUUGAAACGCCCAGUAUCGAGCCCAUUAAUGCUAAGGCCGUGAAGCCGUUCCGGACCCUUCGGGGAAAGGAAAGUGGUGGAGCCGCCGACCCAAGGUGGUAGUAGGUAAGCGAUGGGGUGACGCAGGAAGGUAGUCCAGCCCGGGCGGUGGUUGUCCCGGGGUAAGGGUGUAGGCCGUGUGAUAGGCAAAUCCGUCACACAUUGAGGCUGAGACCUGAUGCCGAGCCGAUUGUGGUGAAGUGGAUGAUCCUAUGCUGUCGAGAAAAGCCUCUAGCGAGUUUCAUGGCGGCCCGUACCCUAAACCGACUCAGGUGGUCAGGUAGAGAAUACCGAGGCGUUCGGGUGAACUAUGGUUAAGGAACUCGGCAAAAUGCCCCCGUAACUUCGGGAGAAGGGGGGCCACACCCGGUGACGAGUUUUACACUCUGAGCUGGGGGUGGCCGCAGAGACCAGCGAGAAGCGACUGUUUACUAAAAACACAGGUCCGUGCGAAGCCGUAAGGCGAUGUAUACGGACUGACGCCUGCCCGGUGCUGGAACGUUAAGGGGACCGGUUAGCUCCAUUUCGGUGGGGCGAAGCUGAGAACUUAAGCGCCAGUAAACGGCGGUGGUAACUAUAACCAUCCUAAGGUAGCGAAAUUCCUUGUCGGGUAAGUUCCGACCUGCACGAAUGGCGUAACGACUUCUCGACUGUCUCAACCAUAGGCCCGGUGAAAUUGCACUACGAGUAAAGAUGCUCGUUUCGCGCAGCAGGACGGAAAGACCCCGGGACCUUUACUACAGUUUGAUAUUGGUGUUCGGUUCGGCUUGUGUAGGAUAGGUGGGAGACUGUGAAGCGGGCACGCCAGUGUUCGUGGAGUCGCCGUUGAAAUACCACUCUGGUCGUGCUGGAUGUCUAACCUGGGUCCGUGAUCCGGAUCAGGGACAGUGUCUGAUGGGUAGUUUAACUGGGGCGGUUGCCUCCCAAAGGGUAACGGAGGCGCCCAAAGGUUCCCUCAGCCUGGUUGGUAAUCAGGUGUUGAGUGUAAGUGCACAAGGGAGCUUGACUGUGAGACUGACGGGUCGAGCAGGGACGAAAGUCGGGACUAGUGAUCCGGCGGUGGCUUGUGGAAGCGCCGUCGCUCAACGGAUAAAAGGUACCCCGGGGAUAACAGGCUGAUCUUCCCCAAGAGUCCAUAUCGACGGGAUGGUUUGGCACCUCGAUGUCGGCUCGUCGCAUCCUGGGGCUGGAGUCGGUCCCAAGGGUUGGGCUGUUCGCCCAUUAAAGCGGUACGCGAGCUGGGUUUAGAACGUCGUGAGACAGUUCGGUCCCUAUCCGCUGUGCGCGCAGGAGUCUUGAGAAGGGCUGUCCCUAGUACGAGAGGACCGGGACGGACGAACCUCUGGUGUGCCAGUUGUCCUGCCAAGGGCAUGGCUGGUUGGCUACGUUCGGAAAGGAUAACCGCUGAAAGCAUCUAAGCGGGAAGCCUGCUUCGAGAUGAGGACUCCCACCCACUUGAUGGGGUAAGGCUCCCAGUAGACGACUGGGUUGAUAGGCCAGAUAUGGAAGCCUGGUAACGGGUGGAGUUGACUGGUACUAAUAGGCCGAGGGCUUGUCCUC